rnacentral:rRNA from 1 species
CACGUAAGUUGCGAGCGUUGUUCGGAAUUAUUGGGCGUAAAGGGCAUGUAGGCGGUUUUGAAAGCUUGAUGUGAAAUCCCACAGCUUAACUGUGGAACUGCAUUGAGAACUACAAGACUAGAGUUACUGAAGGGAAACUAGAAUUCCAAGUGUAGGGGUGAAAUCUGUAGAUAUUUGGAAGAAUACCAAUGGCGAAGGCAAGUUUCUGGCAGAUAACUGACGCUGAGGUGCGAAGGUGCGGGGAGCAAACAGGAUUAGAUACCCCCGUAGU